UGGGGAAUAUUGGACAAUGGGCGAAAGCCUGAUCCAGCCAUGCCGCGUGUGUGAAGAAGGUCUUCGGAUUGUAAAGCACUUUAAGUUGGGAGGAAGGGCAGUAAGCGAAUACCUUGCUGUUUUGAUGUUACCGACAGAAUAAGCACCGGCUAACUCUGUGCCAGCAGCCGCGGAAAUACAGAGGGUGCAAGAGUUAAUCGGAAUUACUGGGCGUAAAGCGCGCGUAGGUGGUUCGGUAAGUUGAAUGUGAAAGCCCCGGGCUCAACCUGGGAACUGCAUCCAAAACUGGCGAGCUAGAGUAGGGCAGAGGGUGGUGGAAUUUCCUGUGUAGCGGUGAAAUGCGUAGAUAUUGGAAGGAACACCAGUGGCGAAGGCGACCACCUGGGCUCAUACUGACACUGAGGUGCGAAAGCGUGGGGAGCAAACAGG
rnacentral:rRNA from 1 species